rnacentral:misc_RNA from 1 species
UACAGUGUUGUUAUCGUUUCAGGCUGAAAAAAUUUGUGGCAUGGCUAUGGAGUUCGUCGCGUGUCCUGAGGCGUGCAAGGCGCGGCUGGCGUGCGGCCACGCGUGCACUCGCACAUGCCAUGUUAAAAGCGAUCCUGACCAUGAAAUGUACACAUGUGAAAAACCAUGCCGAAAACUUAAAAAAGAUUGCUCAUUUACCGCAGAAGAAAAUAAUGAGGACCAUCUGUGUAAAAAAAAAUGUUAUGAAACGUGUGAUGUUUGCAAAGUGGAGGUAAUGAAAAAGAGACAAAAUUGCAUCCACUCUCAAAAAGUUCCGUGCCAUGUUGAUGUUAACACUAUUUUGUGUCGCAAAAACUGUGCUCGCUUAUUGCCGUGUAAUCAUCACUGUAAGAAGAAGUGCCACGAGCCUUGUGGGGAUUGUGUGAUGCUAGUAGUCAAGAAGAUUCCGGACUGUAAUCACAAAGUAAAGGUGCCAUGCAAUAAGUUCCUUGAUUCCAGCAUGUGCAAAGCAGAAUGCCAACGCGUAAUGUCGUGCGGGCACCCGUGCCAAAGUCUCUGCGGCGAGCCCUGUGACCCAGAAAAUUGCAACCAUUUGAUGAAUUAUGCAGACUAUUCUCCUUGUGGUCAUAAAAUAGCUCUGCCGUGUAAGAUUUACCAGGCAAUACGCUCUGGCGAUAAAGUUGAUUUGCGUGUCUUGCUGAAGCACUGUAAAGCGGCGUGCAAGGCGCGGCUCGAGUGCGGGCACGAGUGCGCGGGCACGUGCGCGGCAUGCUGGCAAGGCCGCCUGCACGCACCCUGCCAGCAGCGCUGCGACAAGCUCAGCAUCUGCGGACACGUGUACGGGACGCACACUACUCACUGCUGCACACGAGCACGUGCGCGGCGUGCUGGCAGGGCUGCCCGCACGCGCCCUGCCAGCAGCGCUGCGACAAGCUCAGCAUCUGCGGACACGUGUACGGGACGCACACUACUCACUGCUGCACACGAGCACGUGCGCGGCGUGCUGGCAGGGCUGCCCGCACGCGCCCUGCCAGCAGCGCUGCGACAAGCUCAGCAUCUGCGGACACGUAUGCAAGGAGCCGUGUAAUGAAAUAUGUCCACCAUGCGAGAAACUCUGUGAAGUGCGAUGUAAACAUUCGAAUUGUAAUAACAAGUGUGGAAUGCCGUGUACGCCAUGUAAGGAAAAAUGUGACC